rnacentral:rRNA from 1 species
AAUGUUGAGGCUGCUGCCACCGACAGCAGGGCUGGUGAUGGUAGUGAGGCUAAUGUUUCUGACCACCAUACGAAUGAUGUUGGCUUGGAGCCCCCUGUUGUUGAUGAGACCAGUCAUAAUGUUGAGGCUGCUGUUGACUGUGGAGUUAAUGAUCCAUCUACUAAUAAGUGCAAGGGUCCUGUUGUUGGCGAAGAGCCUUGUUCGACCAUUGGUGAUGUUCCUUUGAAUGUUAGUAGCAGUAAGAUUGAUGAUGUUGCUGUGAAUGCUGCUAAGAUGACUGAUUUUGAGCGUGAGGCUGCCGUUAGUGGUGGAGAUGAUGCUUGUGGUGUUCCAUUGAGUAGUGGGUGUGAUGUUGGUACCAAAGUUGCUGAUAAGGAUGUUGGUGCUAUCAGCAUACUUGAUGCCAAAUCGUCUGGUGUUGGUAUUGCUGGCAAUGAAAAUCUUUCUGAUUGUGAACAUUUGUCGCCGGAAAAUUUCUCGCCUGGAGGGCUUGAUUACGGUGAUGCAUUGCAAGAUGCCUCUAGCGUGGAGGAGGAACUCCUGUCGUCAAACGCUGAUAGUGCAGAAGGUGCUAAUGUUGCUAAGGUUGAUUUGUUUUUCUUCGUUGUUACGAGGUUGCGCACGAACCAUGGGAAACAUGACAAGCCGAUGUUUCAAAAUAGUGAAUGUGAUGCCAGUGUUGGUUCUGUUGCUAAAGCGUUUGUCCCCACUGGCAUGCUCAACUCAGACAGUGCUGACGUUGUUUCAUAUUCUAUACGUCAGAAGUACCGAGACACUCAUAAGUUGAUAGUUCCCAGAUGGCUUCUUUUCCCUACUUUUGAUCAACCGUCAUUUGCGGCUGCCAUGCAGCCUAGUGAAAAAUCUGGGCAUUGGUGCUUGAUUGUUCUGAAUUUCAGGUUCCGUCCUUUCGAGUGUCUUGAUUCACUCCGCGAUGAAAGCUGGAGUGAUGCAGUUAGAUUCUUAAGGACUAUGACAGAUAACAUAAAGAAGCUUUGGAGGGAGUCCAGCGUAGACAGGGCGAAACCGUUCUCGCCGGCGCAUAAUGAUGGUUUCUCUUGCGAGUUUGUGCGGGUGCCACAGCAGAAAAACAUCCACAAAGACAUUCUUGACAUUAGAAAGACUUUGUUGUAUACCUGCGCAACUAGGAAUGUGUUUGAUGUUAACUUCCGGGGUUUGUUCGGCAUCGAAGCCUGUGAGUGGCUGGAUCUUGGUGAGCAUGACUAUAGGAUCUUUGGCAGUCAGUUCUCAGAAAGAUCUGGUGUUAUGAAGGGGUGGUUGGGAGCUCUGAAUGGUUCUACGGCUGCUUGUGCAGAGAGCCCCUCUACACCCAAGAAUCCCAUUUUGGAAUUGAUAGAUAGUGAUGAUGAUGCGUUUGACAAGAUUGCUGGCAUGGGAAGAGUCACCAGGAGCGCUGCUGCCAAGGGUGUAUCUCCCCUUUCUGGAAUAGUGGCACGUAGAGCUGGUGUUGCUAGGAAGGAUCGUGCUUUGAAUUCUGGCAAUGUUACAAGCACGAAGCGUGCACUGAGAGGUCCUAUAAAGUUUUGCUCCCCUGUGCAGCAGCUUCGUCCUCAUAAAUUCCCUCACAUGGACAAGGCUCGCAAGUUGUAUAAUUUGUUGCAUAGUGAUGAAGGACGUGAGAAGUAUGCCGAGACUGCAUUCUCAAUGAUACCUCAGCCCGAUGACAACGUAACUACCUUCACUAGGAAAUGCAUCUGGGAAGUUUUUACACCUGGUCAAAUGAUGGAGGGUGAUGUAAUGGACUUCCUCAUUGAAGAUUGGAAGCUAGAUCCCGAGAGAAAUGCUGAUUUUGCAUGUGGAAAAAGGAUAUUGCUGAGUCCAUAUUUCAUCACAGUUGUGCUUGGUUGUACGUUUUAUGGUGAUGAAGAUAAAGAGUUUAAUGUGGAGAGUGCAACGAGAGAGUUCAAGAGCUAUGUUAAAGAUAAGGAAGACUUGCUCAGUGCCGACCUUAUCUCUAGAUUGGUCCAAGUAAUGAAGGCUGUGUAUGGUGAUGCUCAGUAUAAUGCGAGCAAGCAGCCAAAAUGGGAUGUUUUUGCAAAGAAACCAAUGUUUGUCAAGGUUCCGCUUCAAGGGGUGAAUGCAUGUGGCCAU